UACGAAGGGUGCAAACGUUGCUCGGAAUUAUUGGGCGUAAAGCGCACGUAGGCGGCUAUCUAAGUCGGAUGUGAAAUCCCUCGGCUUAACCAAGGAAGUGCACCCGAAACUGGAUAGCUUGAGUACAGAAGAGGAUCGCGGAAUUCCCGGUGUAGAGGUGAAAUUCGUAGAUAUCUGGAGGAACACCGGUGGCGAAGGCGGCAUCCUGGACCGAUACUGACGCUGAGGAGCGAAAGCCAGGGGAGCAAACGGG
rnacentral:rRNA from 1 species